UGGUAUCAACCAGAGAACAUGGGAGAGCGGCGGAAAAUUAGGGUUCGGCCUCGCACUCCGCCAUGAAUGAGGCUCCGUCGUUGCAGAGCGAUUGGAGGAGAUCCUUCUUUUCCUCGCUAUGUAUCGCCGGCAGCCGGCGAUUUCCCCUCCGAACCCUCUGCAUCUCUCUCUCUCUUUGUGUGCGUUUGUAUAUUUAUAUGUAUAUAUAUAUGUAUGUAUGUCUAUCUCUCUUUCUUUCUCUCUCUCUCUCUCUAAACGUCCGGCCCUUCAGUGAACUGUGGUGCCGGAAUUCUCCCCUAAAAAGGCUAUGAUGAUGGUUGAACUUGGAGUGUGAGGAUUUUAGGGCAAUGGCCGAGGAGGUUCGAUUCAUCGGCAUGGUGAUCCGGCUGAUCUGCUAGCUAGGCUUCGCCGCCAUGGUAGGCCUCCUCUGCUUUGCCCCAUUUCCAGAUCUGAGCCGCCUCUCUUUUAUU